AACUGGUAAGUUAAGUAUUUAAACUGUGGGGUUCAUGUCCCCAUUAUAUACAUUUAGUGUCUGGUUAGUUG
rnacentral:tRNA from 1 species